AAAUUGAAGAGUUUGAUCAUGGCUCAGAUUGAACGCUGGCGGCAGGCCUAACACAUGCAAGUCGAGCGGUAGCACAGAGAGCUUGCUCUCGGGUGACGAGCGGCGGACGGGUGAGUAAUGUCUGGGAAACUGCCUGAUGGAGGGGGAUAACUACUGGAAACGGUAGCUAAUACCGCAUAAUGUCGCAAGACCAAAGUGGGGGACCUUCGGGCCUCAUGCCAUC
rnacentral:rRNA from 2 species